rnacentral:rRNA from 1 species
ACGGGUGAGUAACACGUGGGAAACUACCCUUUGGUGCGGAAUAACACAGAGAAAUUUGUGCUAAUACCGCAUGAGCUCUUCGGAGGAAAGAUUUAUCGCCAAAGGAUGUGCCCGCGUCCGAUUAGCUAGUUGGUGAGGUAAUGGCUCACCAAGGCGACGAUCGGUAGCUGGUCUGAGAGGAUGAUCAGCCACACUGGGACUGAGACACGGCCCAGACUCCUACGGGAGGCAGCAGUGGGGAAUAUUGGACAAUGGGCGCAAGCCUGAUCCAGCCAUGCCGCGUGAGUGAUGAAGGCCUUAGGGUUGUAAAGCUCUUUCGCCCGCGAGGAUAAUGACGGUAGCGGGAUAAGAAGCCCCGGCUAACUUCGUGCCAGCAGCCGCGGUAAUACGAAGGGGGCUAGCGUUGUUCGGAAUCACUGGGCGUAAAGCGCACGUAGGCGGACUUUUAAGUCAGAGGUGAAAGCCUGGAGCUCAACUUCAGAACUGCCUUUGAUACUGGAAGUCUUGAGUCCGGUAGAGGUGAGUGGAACUGCUAGUGUAGAGGUGAAAUUCGUAGA